UAGGCAAAGGAGCAGGAGUGAGAUGUACUUGGAUGAAAGGUAUAUCUACCCACAGUGAAGAGAAAAGAUUCACCUCAAGUUACAAGUUUGAAUGGUUCAGAAGUAAAUUACCACAAAAAUGCAGAUGGAACCUGUAAUACUUGCCUCCACAUCAUUCAUCCAGCGGUCUGGGAGCCGCAGAUCAGCGUGUGAAAGACAGCAGUUAAAAUACAGGGCCCGUUCCUAUCUCCUCUGCUAUGCACUGGUGUAAAUCAAGCCUAAGACUCAUGAACCCAAUGGAGUGUAAAAUUGGUGUUCUGAUGGGCCCACCUGCAGGCUGAGCUGGUACCUAAGCAGAGACAUAAACCUCUUCCACAUAAGCUCAUCAGACCCAUUGCCCAUCCUGGUGGCCAUGUGCCUCAGCUGUGAUGCUGCUCAGAGUGGAGAAGAUCUGUGCUGCCCACCUGGAGCCUACAUGCAGGAAUGCAGAAGGAGCACUUAGUCAUCUAAUGCUAUCACACCCAGUUGUGAGGAGCCAGGGUACGCAGGCAGUGGCACUCAGCUCAUCCUGGAGAACACUGCCUGCAGUGUCACACGCUGCUGGAAAGGAACUUUACAGACGUACAUGUGUGUUGCUGGAGAAAAUGCAAAGAUAUAUCUGGUUAAUGAUUUAUUGUGGUCUGCUGGGAAAAUAACGCUGCUUGAGAAAACAAAAAUGCAAAUGAGAGUAGAUGUUUGCCUGAUGAACUAGAAGAGAAUUGAGAUAUAGAUUACAUAACACAUUGCUUAAAAAAAAAAAAAAAUCAGCAACCAGGAAUUGAAAUGAGUGUUUUCUUCAUCCUUAGGCAGAGCUACCAGUCAGAUUGUGCUGGGCUCUGUAUUGCUGUACCUCGCUAG
rnacentral:lncRNA from 1 species